rnacentral:misc_RNA from 1 species
AGAAUAAAAAUCGAGGCGUCGCCCUUUUUUUAAGGGUGAUCGCGUCGGAAUUGAGCCGUCUUUCAAAUGUUAAUUCAUGUCAAAGUGGCUUAAAAUUCAUCCAUCCGGUACGAUUAAAGCGUAUUUAAGAUCAAUUUGUUCAAGAACGCGCGAUGACGUACCAUCUCAUGUAGUACGUUUGACUUGGCGUCGUCAGGAUCAUUCGUAUACGAUACUCAAC